GACGAACGCUGGCGGCGUGCUUAACACAUGCAAGUGGAGCGACGAACCGGGGCUUGCCCCGGGGCAGAGCCGCGAACGGGUGAGUAACACGUGGGUAACCUGCCUCAAUGAUUGGGACAACCCGGGGAAACUCGGGCUAAUACCAAAUGUGUUCACUCCUUCUAAGGGGAGUGAGGAAAGGAAGCUUCGGCCUCCGCAUUGAGAUGGGCCCGCGGCCCAUUAGCUUGUGGUGAGGUAACGGCUCACCAAGGCUUCGAUGGGUAGCUGGUCUGAGAGGACGAUCAGCCACACUGGGACUGAGACACGGCCCAGACUCCUACGGGAGGCAGCAGUGGGAAUCUUGCACAAUGCGCGAAAGCGUGAUGCAGCAACGCCGCGUGGGGGAAGACGGCCUUC
rnacentral:rRNA from 1 species